GCACCUCGAAGUCCACUUGCGACAGGAACUGGCUGUACAGCACGCCCUCCGUGUACGUGAACCUGUUGCGCUCGUUCUCCCAGAGCUUGACCUGGUCCACGACGGUGGGCGGCAGCACGGGCGGACCUGCGCAGACACGCACGCCUCUCGGCUUCCACUCCGGUCCCGUGCCAAGCACGUCCGUCACACCCUUGCCUCGUGGGGGAAAUCUUGAAUACACUGACGUUAACAGUUUUAUUAAUCAUGGCCCAAAGAGUCGGUGAGAUGCCUUCCCACAAUUGACUGGACAAACGAGAACAUUGCGAGCACGAUGGCUCCACACAAGAUAUAAGCACGACAGAAACAAGACGCACGCACCAGUCGCAACCAUCCGCGGGUGAGCGUGCAGCCUGAGGAAGCCCACAAUCUGCUCUGCAGUGAUGCCACUCCGGAGCGCCUGCCGCACCGACUCACGAGUCAGGAUUCCCACCGCGAGGUUGGAGAACCUGCAACACCACACACACUGGCGACGAUAAACAGAUGUUGUCUCACGCUAGAUUCACUGGUUUAUAAUGCCACUACGACUGGCAUGGUGGAUGCAGUCAUCACACUGUGUAGCUACGUAAUAACAAUAACAUAACAUAGCAAUUUGCAGGUCUUCAAGUUCCCUGCAGUGUUUGAUAUUUCGUUAAAAGUAUAUAUUUAAAUAUGUUCGACACAAAAUUACUAUCUUAAGAUUUUACACUUUACAGUCAUGUGACCUGCCAGUUACAUUGUCAUGAUUUGGUCGUUUGAUUUUGUAAUAAAACAAAACUAUUAACUGUG